AUUGAACGCUGGCGGCAGGCCUAACACAUGCAAGUCGAGCGGAGCGGCGGACGGGUGAGUAAUGCCUAGGAAUCUGCCUGGUAGUGGGGGAUAACGUCCGGAAACGGGCGCUAAUACCGCAUACUAUCAGAUGAGCCUAGGUCGGAUUAGCUAGUUGGUGGGGUAAAGGCCUACCAAGGCGACAAUCCUUAACUGGUCUGAGAGGGUGAUCAGUCACUCUGGAACGGGACACCGGCCCAGACUCUUACGGGGGGCAGCCGUGGGGAAUAUUGGACAAGGGGCGAAAGCCUGCUCCAGCCAUGCGGCGUGUGUGAAGAAGGCCUUCGGGUUGUAAAGCACUUUCAGCGGGGAGGCGUUACCCGCAGAAGAAGCACCGGCUAACUCCGUGCCAGCAGCCGCGGUAAUUC
rnacentral:rRNA from 1 species